UUUAUGAGAGUUUGAUCCUGGCUCAGGACGAACGCUGGCGGCGUGCCUAAUACAUGCAAGUCGAGCGGAUGAAGAGGAGCUUGCUCCUUGGAUUCAGCGGCGGACGGGUGAGUAACACGUGGGCAACCUGCCUGUAAGACUGGGAUAACUCCGGGAAACCGGGGCUAAUACCGGAUAACUUCUUUUCUCGCAUGGGAAGAGGUUGAAAGACGGUUUUGCUGUCACUUACAGAUGGGCCCGCGGCGCAUUAGCUAGUUGGUGGGGUAACGGCCUACCAAGGCGACGAUGCGUAGCCGACCUGAGAGGGUGAUCGGCCACACUGGGACUGAGACACGGCCCAGACUCCUACGGGAGGCAGCAGUAGGGAAUCUUCCGCAAUGGACGAAAGUCUGACGGAGCAACGCCGCGUGAGUGACGAAGGCCUUCGGGUCGUAAAACUCUGUUAUCAGGGAAGAACAAGCAUCAUUUAACUGAUGGUGCCUUGACGGUACCUGACCAGAAAGCCACGGCUAACUACGUGCCAGCAGCCGCGGUAAUACGUAGGUGGCAAGCGUUGUCCGGAAUUAUUGGGCGUAAAGCGCGCGCAGGCGGCUUCUUAAGUCUGAUGUGAAAGCCCACGGCUCAACCGUGGAGGGUCAUUGGAAACUGGGAGGCUUGAGUGCAGAAGAGAAGAGCGGAAUUCCACGUGUAGCGGUGAAAUGCGUAGAGAUGUGGAGGAACACCAGUGGCGAAGGCGGCUCUUUGGUCUGUAACUGACGCUGAGGCGCGAAAGCGUGGGGAGAGAACAGGAUUAGAUACCCUGGUAUUCCACGCCGUAAACGAUGAGUGCUAAGUGUUAGGGGGUUUCCGCCCCUUAGUGCUGCAGCAAACGCAUUAAGCACUCCGCCUGGGGAGUACGGCCGCAAGGCUGAAACUCAAAGGAAUUGACGGGGGCCCGCACAAGCGGUGGAGCAUGUGGUUUAAUUCGAAGCAACGCGAAGAACCUUACCAGGUCUUGACAUCCCGCUGACCGGUGCAGAGAUGUGCCUUUCCCUUCGGGGACAGCGGUGACAGGUGGUGCAUGGUUGUCGUCAGCUCGUGUCGUGAGAUGUUGGGUUAAGUCCCGCAACGAGCGCAACCCUUGAUCUUAGUUGCCAGCAUUUAGUUGGGCACUCUAAGGUGACUGCCGGUGACAAACCGGAGGAAGGUGGGGAUGACGUCAAAUCAUCAUGCCCCUUAUGACCUGGGCUACACACGUGCUACAAUGGAUGGUACAGAGGGCAGCGAGACCGCGAGGUUCAGCGAAUCCCUUAAAACCAUUCUCAGUUCGGAUUGCAGGCUGCAACUCGCCUGCAUGAAGCCGGAAUCGCUAGUAAUCGCGGAUCAGCAUGCCGCGGUGAAUACGUUCCCGGGCCUUGUACACACCGCCCGUCACACCACGAGAGUUUGUAACACCCGAAGUCGGUGGGGUAACCCUUCUGGGAGCCAGCCGCCGAAGGUGGGACAGAUGAUUGGGGUGAAGUCGUAACAAGGUAGCCGUAUCGGAAGGUGCGGCUGGAUCACCUCCUUUCUA
rnacentral:rRNA from 1 species